rnacentral:rRNA from 1 species
UAGGGAAUCUUCGGCAAUGGACGAAAGUCUGACCGAGCAACGCCGCGUGAGUGAAGAAGGUUUUCGGAUCGUAAAACUCUGUUGUUAGAGAAGAACAAGGACGUUAGUAACUGAACGUCCCCUGACGGUAUCUAACCAGAAAGCCACGGCCAACUACGUGCCAGCAGCCGCGGUAAUACGUAGGUGGCAAGCGUUGUCCGGAUUUAUUGGGCGUAAAGCGAGCGCAGGCGGUUUCUUAAGUCUGUUGUGAAAGCCCCCGGCUCAACCGGGGAGGGUCAUUGGAAACUGGGAGACUUGAGUGCAGAAGAGGAGGGUGGAAUUCCAUGUGUAGCGGUGAAAUGCGUAGAUAUAUGGAGGAACACCAGUGGCGAAGGCGGCUCUCUGGGCUGUAACUGACGCUGAGGCUCGAAAGCGUGGGGAGCAAACAGG